UUUCCCUUAUUGAGUUGACCCCAAGAUAUUAUCUUUGGUUGACCGAGUCUGUCUUGUAAUCACUCUAGUUCCAACUUUCAAGUACGCGCAAUGUACUUUAGUUAAGUUAAAUAAAUCUAUUUUGUUGUUACGCAAUCUGCUACUUAACUUCCCUGUCCAUUAAUUGCGGAUGUAGGUCGCAGUCGAUUUACUAAUAUCGACCUUUCAACCUACAGUCCGUUGACCGACCUUGGAAAAUGUGUUAACAGAUAUUAACGCGGUCAUGGCACCGCUCCCGUUCUGCAGUUGUUUUACAUAAUUCGACAAUUUUUAAUGCAUAAUCAGAAAAUAAUUAAGUCUAGCAAAUAUGAAAUAUAAAAAAACACGAUGAAAUAAGUAGAUACAAGGAAGCGUACCAUAACAGUAUCGCGGAUACUCUCUUUACGGCUCAGAAGUUCUUCAUUUCCGACGAAUGCCAAAAAGGAUUUCGAAACAACUUCUGAAAUUUACUUACUAUUCUUCUUUUCACAACUUAAAAUGCAUAAUGAUCGAGCUGAUUUCUGCUUUAAGGAACUUAGAUUAAACUAACUUAUUAGCUAUUGUUUAAUUUAAUUCAUUAGUCGUUAAAUUAAUUACUUUUCAAGCUACUUUCAAAAUACAGUAGUUGAAUAAUUUCCUGUACGCUUUUUAUUCAAAUUAAUGUUUAUUUUACUUACUUAAUUAAUAAUGAAAUAAGGUCGUUAGUAAACACAUGUAGUGUUAAAUAGUUUUUAGUUAUUAAGAGAUUAGUUUUUUUUUAAACUACUUCGUAAUAAAGUAGCUAAUUUUCAUUCAAAAAAUGAGAAAAUAUUACUUCAAAAAGGCAUUUAGAAUGAAACAAAAUAUGUUUAACUUUUCUAAGCUGCUUUAUAAUAAUGGAGCUGAUUAAUAUUCUAUAAAUAAUCUUUUCAAUUUUUUAUUAAUUAACUUAGUUUUGAAAUCAUUUUCUUAUUAAAAAAAUCAUGCAUUCAAGUAGAGACAUCAAUUAUUGAAUUAUAUAUUACUUAAUUAAAUUAAAUUACUUUUCUAAGCUACUUCGUAAU